rnacentral:rRNA from 1 species
UGGGGAAUAUUGCACAAUGGGCGCAAGCCUGAUGCAGCCAUGCCGCGUGUAUGAAGAAGGCCUUCGGGUUGUAAAGUACUUUCAGCGGGGAGGAAGGCGAUAAGGUUAAUAACCUUGUCGAUUGACGUUACCCGCAGAAGAAGCACCGGCUAACUCCGUGCCAGCAGCCGCGGUAAUACGGAGGGUGCAAGCGUUAAUCGGAAUUACUGGGCGUAAAGCGCACGCAGGCGGUCUGUCAAGUCGGAUGUGAAAUCCCCGGGCUCAACUUGGGAACUGCAUUCGAAACUGGCAGGCUAGAGUCUUGUAGAGGGGGGUAGAAUUCCAGGUGUAGCGGUGAAAUGCGUAGAGAUCUGGAGGAAUACCGGUGGCGAAGGCGGCCCCCUGGACAAAGACUGACGCUCAGGUGCGAAAGCGUGGGGAGCAAACA